GAUGAACGCUGGCGGCGUGCUUAAUACAUGCAAGUCGAGCGAACAGAUGAGGAGCUUGCUCCGCUGACGUUAGCGGCGGACGGGUGAGUAACACGUGGAUAACCUACCUAUAAGACUGGGAUAACUUCGGGAAACCGGAGCUAAUCCCGGAUAAUAUAUUGAACCGCAUGGUUCAAUAGUGAAAGACGGUGUUGCUGUCACUUAUAGAUGGUUCGGCGCCGCAUUAGCUAGUGGGUAAGGUAACGGCUUACCAAGGCAACGAUGCGUAGCCGACCUGAGAGGGUGAUCGGCCACACUGGAACUGAGACACGGUCCAGACUCCUACGGGAGGCAGCAGUAGGGAAUCUUCCGCCAUGGGCGAAAGCCUGACGGAGCAACGCCGCGUGAGUGAUGAAGGUCUUCGGAUCGUAAAACUCUGUUAUUAGGGAAGAACAAAUGUGUAAGUAACUAUGCACGUCUUGACGGUACCUAAUCAGAAAGCCACGGCUAACUACGUG
rnacentral:rRNA from 1 species